AUUGAACGCUGGCGGCAGGCCUAACACAUGCAAGUCGAACGAGCGGCGGACGGGUGAGUAAUGUCUGGGAAACUGCCCGAUGGAGGGGGAUAACUACUGGAAACGGUAGCUAAUACCGCAUACCAUCGGAUGUGCCCAGAUGGGAUUAGCUAGUAUGGUGGGUAACGGAUCCCCUAGGAGACGCUGCCUAGCUGGUCGGAGAGGAUGACCAGCCACACUCGAACUGAGACACGGUCCAGACUCCUACGGGAGGCAGCAGUGGGGAAUAUUGCGCAAUUGGCGCAAGCCUGAUGCAGCCAUUCCGCGUGUAUGAAGAAGGCCUUCGGGUUGUAAAGUACGUUCAUCGAGGAGGCGUUACUCGCAGAAGAAGCACCUGCUAACUCCGUGCCAGCAGCCGCGGUAAUUC
rnacentral:rRNA from 1 species